UGCUAAACAGCUAACCCAAAACUCAAAAAACAACAAACCCAUAUAAAUAACCCCAAAAACUCUAAUAAAACACUAAACAAACCAUUUUUCCCCCUUAGUAUAGGUGAUAGAAAAGGACCUUAGGAGUAACAGAAAAAGUACCGCAAGGGAAUGCUGAAAGAGAAAUGAAAUAACCCAGUCAAGCCAAUAAAAGCAGAGAUUUAACCUCGUACCUUUUGCAUCAUGAUUUAGCCAGAAACAAUACAAGCAAAGUGAACUUUAGUUUGAAACCCCGAAACUAAGUGAGCUACUCCAAGACAGCCUAUUAAUAGGGCAAACCCGUCUCUGUGGCAAAAGAGUGGGAAGAGCUUUGAGUAGAGGUGACAGACCUAUCGAACUUAGUUAUAGCUGGUUGCCCGAGAAUUGGAUAGAAGUUCAGCCUCUAAGCUUCUUUACUCCCCUGUCUUGACCCCGCCAGACGCUUAAGAAACUAAGAGAGUUAGUCAAGGGGGGUACAGCCCCCUUGACACAAGAUACAACUUUCCCAGGAGGGUAAAGAUCAUAAUUAAACAAGGUAAAAUAUCUCAGUGGGCCUAAAAGCAGCCACCCGAACAGAAAGCGUUAAAGCUCAGAUAUAUCCGCCACCCUUAAAUCCCGAUAACUUACUCUUAACCCCCUAAUUUUACCGGGCCUUCCCAUGCAUUCAUGGGAGCGAUUAUGCUAAUAUGAGUAAUAAGAGACCCCAACCUCUCUCCCAGCAUACGUGUAAAUCGGAACGGACCUCCCACCGAAUCUUAACGGCCCCAAAAUCAAAGAGGGAACUGAAUUACAAACCCAACAACUAGAAAAACACUCAACCAACAACCGUUAACCCUACACUGGCAUGCACCCAUGGAAAGACUAAAAGAAAAAGAAGGAACUCGGCAAACACACUAGGCCUCGCCUGUUUACCAAAAACAUCGCCUCUUGCAAAAAUAACAAAUAAGAGGUCCCGCCUGCCCUGUGACUAUAUGUUUAACGGCCGCGGUAUUUUGACCGUGCGAAGGUAGCGCAAUCACUUGUCUUUUAAAUGGAGACCUGUAUGAAUGGCACAACGAGGGCUUAACUGUCUCCUUUUUCCAGUCAAUGAAAUUGAUCUCCCCGUGCAGAAGCGGGGAUACUUACAUAAGACGAGAAGACCCUAUGGAGCUUUAGACACCAAAGCAGACCAUGUUAAUCACCCCUAAAUAAAGGACCAAACAAUAUUGAACCCUGCCCUAAUGUCUUCGGUUGGGGCGACCACGGAGAAAUAAAAAACCCCCGCGUGGAACAGGGAUACUAUCCCCACAAUUACGAGCUUCCGCUCUAUCAAACAGAACCUCUGACCAGUCAGAUCCGGCAAUGCCGACCAACGGACCAAGUUACCCUAGGGAUAACAGCGCAAUCCCCUUUUAGAGCCCAUAUCGACAAGGGGGUUUACGACCUCGAUGUUGGAUCAGGACAUCCUAAUGGUGCAGCCGCUAUUAAGGGUUCGUUUGUUCAACGAUUAAAGUCCUACGUGAUCUGAGUUCAGACCGGAGUAAUCCAGGUCAGUUUCUAUCUAUGAUAUGAUCUUUUCUAGUACGAAAGGACCGAGAAGAAGAGGCCUCUACCCAGAGCACGCCCCAUCCUCACCUAAUGAAUACAACUAAAAUAGACAAAAGGACAUAUUUCUUUAACCAAAGAAAAUGGUAC
rnacentral:rRNA from 1 species